ACACAGGUACAUACAUAUAAUACUGUACACGCAUGUAAGUCUUCACCGCCAUUUAAUAUAAGUCAAUUUACUUGCGUCAGCAAUAAAUAAUAUGCAAAGGUGUGUUGACGUGAGGAAAAUUAAGUAUAACACUCGACAAAGAUAUAGUUUUGACUCAGCAACUUCAGAUCUAAACAUUAAUAUUAUCCCUUUAUUUCAAAUGAUAAUUCAGCACAAAACCGUCAUGUGGCAUAACUUUAUUUACUUCUUGCUCUCCAAAUGAAUAUUUACCACGUACAACGCCGUUAGUAACUACUACAUAACAGUGUGGCAGAACUCUGGAACUCCCUGCCUGCUUACGCGUUAUUUCCCUCAGCUUGUGACUAGUUCUUACUAAAGGUAGAUCACAGGACACUUCAACUUUGGAUAAUCCUUUUGGCUUUUUCUCCUUAGAGACCGACAUCUCAAUGGACCUUUACACGAUACAGCUGCAAUAAUUUUAAGGGGUACAAUGAAAACUUUCUGAGCGUAUAUACACGAGUAUAUUCUGAAAACACACACGCCACACCUACUCUACUUUCAAAAGGUUCUAGUUGAAGUAACAAGUAACAACGGUUAUUAAGGUUGUUCUUAUAGUUCGUGACAAAUUCGUACGAUUUCUAAAAGCCUGCCUAAUCAUCUCGCUUCGUGGCCAUUGAAAAUAGUCAUGGUAAGAAAGCAAAGCGAUCGUGAAUACAUGGCAUAACACUGAAGCAUUGGCGAGGGCGUUGAUUCAUACGGAAGACUGGGCGCUGGGAGCGAGACGCAGAUACAUAGCAAUGAAGGAUAACAUUCGUAGACGCGUUGAUUUGUAUGAUACACGGAAAAUUUCAGAGGCUAGCAAGUGGGAUGGAGAGUAUAAUGUAUGAUGCGAUGAUAGAUAACAUUCGCAGGUGCGUUGAUGCAUGCGGGACACGGAAAACCUUUACAGAUAGUGCUGGCAGGAAGGGCCUGCCAUACGCGAUUUCACGAGACGCACAUUCCUGAACUUGUCCCAGCCUCCCACUGGGGAUCCUUGGGGCUUUCCGUUACCGACAGGGACUUCAAGGACAUCAUGUGCGCAAGAACAUUCAGAGAUUAAGGACAAGACACAGCGAGGAUUACACAGGUAAUCAAAACACAAAGGCACUCAACAAUUACCUGGUACCCUUCACAAGCUGCCUGCAAAGCAUUGAUGGGGUCAAUCUCUGUGAUGAGGACUCGGGCGCCAAAUGCACGCAGUGACUGAGCUGAGCCUUUGCCUACAUCUCCAUAGCCUGCCACAACACAGGUCUUGCCCGCCAGCAUGAUGUCAGUGGCCCGCUUGAUGCCAUCUGUGAGGGACUCCCUGCAGCCAUACAAGUUGUCAAACUUGCUCUACAGAAAAAGAUGGUUAUUAAAGAUGUGCCAUUAUUCUUAAUAUGUCUAUAUAUCUAAAUGUAAAUAAAUAGGCAAAUAAAUCUUCAUUGGAUGCAAGACUGAA